CCUGAAGAGAGGUUUGCCUUUCCGGUGCUCUCCUCCUGGGAGUACGGCUGGAGGCUCGGCGACUACACCCUGGACUACAAAACCCCGUCCAGCGCCAAGUCCUCGGUGGUGAAGAACACUUUCUACGCCAAGAAUGGAGUCUUCAGUGGUUCAGCAGAAACCAACGAGAUGGUCUGAAGAGCAGCUGUCGGACUGCAGAGCCUGAUCUUAAAAGUAUUAUCUAUUUAUAAUCGAGUUGUCACGUUUAACCUAUUUCCAGUCUGUGUACGUCAUCAGUUCAUCUUUCGUCCUUCAGCUUCUGUUCAAGCUCUCCUCCCUCUUUGUAAACAUUUCUUUGCAUAAAACUCUUGUAAUUUGA